GCUUUAGUCAGUGUGCCUCCGACCGUCAGCAACGCAUGACGGGUGCCUGGUUCAAGCCGCCGCUGGGCCAGCGGGCUGUCCAGCCCUACUGGACCGGCCUAGCUUAAUACAAUGAUCACCUGUGUUCUUGGCGCUUAGACGAGCAGCGUCAUCGACUCUCAGGCCACUGUCAGCUCGUCCUACAUACAUCAUCACUACUUCAGUCUUGGCGGGCGCGCCAUCACCCUCCCAUCUCUGAUGGCUGGUGCGACAGCGCGCCACAUCGCCGGACGCAGUCACCCACCACGACUGCAGCCACCCAUGUGGGUCGGCUAAACCAUGACAUUCUGUACCCCUACCUCAAUCAAGAGGUAACCAGGGCUGGCGCGAAUCCAACCGGAGGGGACCAAAGGACCAUCGUCAUCCCUCUUUUUGUUUUCUGGUCCUUUCGCCCCCGUCCUGAUUCUCAUUGGAUCCGUGCCAGAACCACAAGAAUGUCUGUCUGUAAGUUCGUAAUAAUUGUUCUUACGUAUUUACAGACCUUUAUUUAUCUUAAUAUUAAAUAAAAGAAGACAUUAACGGGUUUUGGCAACCAGUAAAUAACGCGCAGUUUUACUUUGGAUAAUGGCAUGAUGUGACCUAUCGUAAUUUUAAACAAUAAACUGAAACGUAGCUCUCUAAAGGAGUCAGAAUAAA